GUCGAGAAUCUUCCGCAAUGCGCGAAAGCGUGACGGAGCGACACCGCGUGAUGGAUGAAGUCCUUCGGGGCGUAAACAUCUUUUAUAAAGGAGGAAAUUUUUGACAUUACUUUAUGAAUAAGGGGCUCCCAAUCUCGUGCCAGCAGGAGCGGUAAUACGAGAGCCUCAAGCGUUAUCCGGAAUCAUUGGGCGUAAAGGGUGCGUAGGUGGUUUGAUUAGUCUCCCGUUAAAACUUCGAGCUUAACUCGAAAAGAGCGGGGGAAACGGUCAAACUAGAGUAUGUGAGAGGUGUGUGGAACUCAUGGUGUAGGGGUGAAAUCCGUUGAUAUCAUGGGGAACACCAAAAGCGAAGGCAGCACACUGGCACAUCACUGACACUGAGGCACGAAACCUAAGGUAGCGAAUGGGAUUAGAAACCCCUGUAGUCC
rnacentral:rRNA from 1 species